UACGUAGGGGGCAAGCGUUGUCCGGAUUUAUUGGGCGUAAAGAGCGUGUAGGCGGCUGGGUAGGUCCGUUGUGAAAACUCGAGGCUCAACCUCGAGACGCCGAUGGAAACCCUCCAGCUAGAGUCCGGAAGAGGAGAGUGGAAUUCCUGGUGUAGCGGUGAAAUGCGCAGAUAUCAGGAAGAACACCCGUGGCUAAGGCGGCCCUCUAGUACGGUACUGACGCUGAGACGCGAAAGCGUGGGGAGCGAACAGG
rnacentral:rRNA from 1 species